GGACGAACGCUGGCGGCGUGCUUAACCCCUGCAAGUCGAACGGAAAGGCCCUGCUUUUGUGGGGUGCUCGAGUGGCGAACGGGUGAGUAACACGUGAGUAACCUGCCCUUGACUUUGGGAUAACUUCAGGAAACUGGGGCUAAUACCGGAUAGGAGCUCCUGCUGCAUGGUGGGGGUUGGAAAGUUUCGGCGGUUGGGGAUGGACUCGCGGCUUAUCAGCUUGUCGGUGGGGUAGUGGCUUACCAAGGCUUUGACGGGUAGCCGGCCUGAGAGGGUGACCGGCCACAUUGGGACUGAGAUACGGCCCAGACUCCUACGGGAGGCAGCAGUGGGGAAUAUUGCACAAUGGGCGGAAGCCUGAUGCAGCAACGCCGCGUGCGGGAUGACGGCCUUCGGGUUGUAAACCGCUUUCGCCUGUGACGAAGCGUGAGUGACGGUAAUGGGUAAAGAAGCACCGGCUAACUACGUG
rnacentral:rRNA from 1 species